GUGGCCUUCUCUAGGAAGAUAUACUAGUGCUUUUGAAUACACAAAUUUGUAUUUGGAAGUUCUUCAUCCAUGCCAAAAAAGCAUGUUGAAGUUGCUGUGUGACUGGGGAGGGGGCUACAUCACAUUUACUGUGCACCUGUGUUUCUCUGCCUACUUGAGUAUGAACUGGUAUCAUGACAAGACUUAUGGUUGCAUCUUUAUCAUUUGUCUGGUUUUUGCGCAGAUGCUGAUUGCUUAUCUCAGUUACUUUCACUUCAAAUGCAGAAGUGUGAGUAUGGUGGCUUAACAGUGUGAAUAAAACCCCUCAAAUGGCAUUGCUAAGGAGUCUCUGUCUGAGCAGUCUUUUCUCGCCACAAUGGACAUGCAGACUACGUCCUGUGUGAGGUUAAUAACAGGCAAGGAGCUUGAAAAAGAUAGGUUUGAUUUAGAAUCUUGGUUGUCCUCUGUCUCUUGACUGGAGUUGUGACCUCAUAAUGUUCUGACUCUGGUGGGUCUGAGAGUUAGUAAUGUUUUGGAGUCAUUUUGCAUAUUUAAUUAGAGUUUAAUGUCAAGUGCUUAAUUCAACAUUUCCUAGGGAGUGUAGACUUAAGACCCUGGGAGACAUAGACAUGAGUCCCUGCCUUUUGUUUUUUCAGCUGACUAGAUGAGCUCUUGCCUGAAUUAGCACCCUGGCUAUUCUUUCUUCUCAUUCAUGAUUCCCUUGAGGACACUGAGGUACUCCAUAGAAUUAUGAGAAAAAUUAGUUCUCUGGACAUCUUGGCGAUAUCUCUUCGCACCUUGAAGUAUAACUAUAGACAUCCUAGCAUUCAUGUGCCUCUGCUUGGCCUGCAAAGCAGGAAUAGCAAACUGAGGCAAACUUCCUUGACCCCGAUUGGAUUGUACAACUGCACCAGAAAAAUGAGGAUAACAACUGGAUAUCCAAAGUAUCACUAGGGCUGGCAUCGCUGCCCCUUCCACAUUGUUUUCCC
rnacentral:lncRNA from 1 species